rnacentral:rRNA from 1 species
AUUGAACGCUGGCGGCAGGCCUAACACAUGCAAGUCGAGCGGAUGAGUGGAGCUUGCUCCAUGAUUCAGCGGCGGACGGGCGAGUAAUGCCUAGGAAUCUGCCUGGUAGUGGGGGACAACGUUUCGAAAGGAACGCUAAUACCGCAUACGUCCUACGGGAGAAAGUGGGGGAUCUUCGGACCUCACGCUAUCAGAUGAGCCUAGGUCGGAUUAGCUAGUUGGUGAGGUAAAGGCUCACCAAGGCGACGAUCCGUAACUGGUCUGAGAGGAUGAUCAGGCACACUGGAACUGAGACACGGUCCAGACUCCUACGGGAGGCAGCAGUGGGGAAUAUUGGACAAUGGGCGAAAGCCUGAUCCAGCCAUGCCGCGUGUGUGAAGAAGGUCUUCGGAUUGUAAAGCACUUUAAGUUGGGAGGAAGGGCAGUAAGUUAAUACCUUGCUGUUUUGACGUUAGCAACAGAAUAAGCACCGGCUAACUUCGUGCCAGCAGCCGCCGUAAUAC